UACGGAGGGGGCUAGCGUUGUUCGGAAUUACUGGGCGUAAAGCGUGCGCAGGCGGUCUGUUAAGACAGAUGUGAAAUCCCCGGGCUUAACCUGGGAACUGCAUUUGUGACUGGCAGGCUAGAGUAUGGCAGAGGGGGGUAGAAUUCCACGUGUAGCAGUGAAAUGCGUAGAGAUGUGGAGGAAUACCGAUGGCGAAGGCAGCCCCCUGGGCCCAAUACUGACG
rnacentral:rRNA from 1 species